rnacentral:lncRNA from 1 species
AUUCAAACCAUGCAAAUUAGAGUCCAAAACAAGAGCAAACGUGUUUGGAAAAGUGGAUACGUUUGUGACGUAUCAGGUACUUUGUAAAGCCCCGCUGACACUAUUUUGUCUUCAAAGAAGGCACCAACAAGCUCACAACGAGCAUGAAGUUCCUCCUCGAUCAUCCUAAAGUGUUUCUUUGUACCUAUUUGCGUACUUCACUCCCCUCACAUGGAAGGCUUUGCACAUGUUGAAGAGGUUGUUGAAGGGCAUAAAAACAAACUCUUCUCUUUCCAGUCCAUUGAAGGGACGCUCGUUAGGAGGGGGGGGGUGCUCUCCCCCCUAAUC